GCCGGGCGUGGUGGCGGGCGCCUGUAGUCCCAGCUACUUGGGAGGCUGAGGCAGGAGAAUGGCGUGAACCCGGGAGGCGGAGCUUGCAGUGAGCCGAGAUCGUGCCACUGCACUCCAGCCUGGGUGACAGAGCCAGACUCUGUCUCAA
rnacentral:sRNA from 1 species